CUUCGACCUGUAAUAUGCAGCUGUUAGAAGAAGUGAAAUGUGUUUGCAUUAAGUUCCUCACUACACAGGGCAGUUGAUGCUGCAAAAUCCUAUAUUGACGGAGAGGGUCCCGCGUUGGCCUACAGGCAGACUGUGAUUAAGCUAUCAGUGAUGGGGGAGAUCAGAGACUGAGCCCCCUGGAUUGCACAGGCAUACAUGCAACGUAUUUCAUUUAGCACAAAAUGGAAAUCUGCAUCCACUGAUGUAAAUGCAGCGAAGCAUCUCACCAGCUUGCCUUCCAAGGAAAAUUCUACUAUUAGGACUGCGAACCUCCUACAGUAAGAUUCAGCUGAACAGUUUGGAAGAUCUAGUACUGGAUGAGUCACCCCCAUUUUGUUAUACAACAGAAUGACAAAUACCUGAUGAAUGAUUACUUGCCUAGCAAUGAGGAUGCUACUAAAAUAAACAUUCCAAUCAUCCAGAGACGCAGCGGGACUGCACCAUAGAUUUGUUUUUUCUCUCUCCCUCUCUUCCUAACUAUAUUGGCUACUGAAUAAUGGAAAAGGCUAAAGAGGUGUUCUGUCUAUUCAUUUGUAUAGAGAAGGAGAAGAGAUGAGUGAUUGUGGAACUGGAAUGGCAAUUUGGGGCCCUGAGCAGCUCUCACAGUGUGAUAAUGUUGUAUGGGGGGAAAUUACGGUGUUGCGGUAUUAUUAUGCAAUUUAUAAUGAACGCAAAGCUCGAGAGACAUAUUAUAGGAUUUGUUGCAGUGG